UGUCGGGGCACUCUGCGGAGGUUUGGGAUUUCAGGUUGGCCCUUGAAACAACAAAGGACCGGAAUGGUAUUGAGCAAAUCGUCCUAAUUCAGAAUACACAAAGAGUUUCAUCUAGGGUUAGUUUGUUAAAUACAAGAAUUUCUGUUUAGUUUAUAGAAUGUUCUAUUUCAAUUAGUCUUCAUCUGGUUAGCUUGCAUGGUAAUCAAGUAGUUUCAUGGAGAUUUAAUUAGGCUUCAUCUGGUUAACUUGCAUGGUGAUCAAGUAGUUUCAUGGAGAAAUGAAAGAGGCGAAGAACUUCUAUUUAUGAGUAGCCAUUUUCUCUUAAUCUGUGUAUCUAAUUAUAAAAUUUAAAGCUUUCAGUUGGAUGUUACUUCUUUUUAUUGAGCAUAUAGUUAAUCAGUUCAAAGAUUGGAUAUUCGGAGUAAUGAAAACAUAUUAGAUUGCUAUAGGAUGCGAAAUGGGUGGGUCGUACAG
rnacentral:lncRNA from 1 species